UAUAUAUACUGCAACUAUAGGGGACGGGUUUCCCCCGAGGAAACGACGGUCGGCCCGCUGCUUAUAUUUUCUUCUCGCCAUCAGCUCUCCCGCUGCAAAGGGCUAGCUGACAGUUUUUUGACAGCCACUGACUGCACACGCGCAAAAACACACACACGCCCUUAAUGAAUCCCAUAAAUGUAUAUUAUGUAUACAGAGCGAUUAUUUUAUCAAGAGCUGGACAACUAUAUAACUACACAUGGACCGGUAUAUCCAUACAUGUUACGGCUCGUGUUAAACAAUGUCCAGUUUUCGUACAUCCAAUUUCGCGCUGUUAAUACUAAAUAUUUAUGUGAAUUGAUCCAUUAAUGGUAUAUCUUCGUUUGUACUUUGGUUUUUUUUUCUCUAUACAUUAAACUUUCAGU